rnacentral:tRNA from 1 species
ACUACUUUGGCAGAUAAGUGUCUUGGAUUUAGAAUUCAAAUAUGUAAUUAGUAGUUACAGGUAGUA